UACGUAGGGACCGAGCGUUGUCCGGAUUCAUUGGGCGUAAAGAGCUCGUAGGCGGCCACUCAAGUCGAAUGUGAAACCUCGAGGCUCAACCUCGAGCCUGCAUUCGAUACUGGGCGGCUAGAGUCUGGUAGGGGGAUCUGGAAUUCCUGGUGUAGCGGUGGAAUGCGUAGAUAUCGGAAGGAACAUCAGUGGCGAAAGCGACUUCCUGGACCAAUACUGACGCUCAUGUGCGAAAGCGUGGGGAGCAAACAGG
rnacentral:rRNA from 1 species